rnacentral:misc_RNA from 1 species
UGGACUACAAGGGUUUCUAAUCCUGUUUGCUCCCCACGCUGUCGCGCAUCAGUGUCAGCAAGAGCCCAGCAGGCCGCCUUCGCCACCGAUGUUCUUCCCGAUCUCUACGCAUUCCACCGCUACACCGGGAAUUCCACCUGCCUCUACUCUGCUCGAGCCUGACAGUUUAGGAGGCAGCCUCGAAGUUGAGCCUCGAGAUUUCACCCCCUACUUACCAGGCCACCUACGCGCCCUUUACGCCCAGUGAUUCCGGACAACGCUUGCACCCUCUGUAUUACCGCGGCUGCUGGCACC